AGAGCGAACGCUGGCGGAAUGCUUAACACAUGCAAGUCGCACGGUCAGCAAUGGCAGUGGCGGACGGGUGAGUAACGCGUAGGAAUAUGUCCAGAGGUGGGGGACAACCCCGGGAAACUGGGGCUAAUACCGCAUAUGAGCUGAGGCUCAAAGCAGUGAUGCGCCUUUGGAGUAGCCUGCGUCCGAUUAGCUUGUUGGUGGGGUAAUGGCCUACCAAGGCGACGAUCGGUAGCUGGUCUGAGAGGACGACCAGCCACACUGGGACUGAGACACGGCCCAGACUCCUACGGGAGGCAGCAGUGGGGAAUAUUGGACAAUGGGCGCAAGCCUGAUCCAGCAAUUCCGCGUGGGUGAAGAAGGUCUUCGGAUUGUAAAGCCCUUUCGACGGGGACGAUGAUGACGGUACCCGUAGAAGAAGCCCCGGCUAACUUCGUGCCAUCAGCCGC
rnacentral:rRNA from 1 species